GCCAAACAGACUGUGAUCCCGCUUGAAAGAAUAGUCACUGGAUAUGACAAAUGUCAGUAAUUAAUUUUCUCAAUUAAAUACAAAGUAGUACAAGAAUUUACUAAGGACCGUUAGAGAACGCCGACAUACAACCGAUGGAACAAAUAUAAAACAGCGACACGUGUUACUCAGAUAAUAUUUUCUACUUGCGAAUCUGAGCAUAGACAAAAUUCGUGUUUCAAAUUGACCCUAAUAACCGUUGCCUAUCUAUUGUAAUUAAAGAAUUACGCACAACACACGAUAACAAAACGCAAACCGUCAGCGUCAUAAAACGGCGACUGAAGAUUAAGCGACGUCUAAUCAUAUUUUCACUCCUUUGCCUCCUUUUUCCAUGUUGAAUAAUUAUUCGCGAAUUACCCCAUUUCACAUAAACAUUAUAACUCCCCGACAACAGCUAGACCAGACCGCUUCGCACUACACAUGUAAAACCUUCCAAGCGUUACAUAUGCAUGCAUCGUACGUGUCUUACGUAUUAUACACACACGCCGUAACGUUUGGACAGCAGCUCAUUCAUUAUCGAUAUCGAUAGGCUCUUACGUUACUUUUCCACUUUGCGCAAAACUCGAUUUUGCAUUUCAGGUUCACCAUGCACGAAUCAGGUAUAUUGCGCAACAUUGUGUAAUUCCAUUUCGCUCUCAUACAAGGAAACCCUGCUGGUACGUUACCUACUGCUAAAUAAUUUCAUAUACAUAAAAUUGAUAGGCUGAUUUCGGAACAUUUGCUACUGGGUAGAUCCAUAUCUGAAAUAGCAGUCCUAAAUUCUGUCUAAUCUCGAUAUAUAGGAACGAAGGAAAGUUUUCGAGCGAUUUCUAUCGGGCGACAUGCGCAAGUGCAUUCGCGAUGGAAAAACCUUGAGUUUCACUAAAGGUUCUUCGAGACAAGCGACACGAUCGGUAUCCCAGAUCGACGUGGAUGCUCCUUGAGGAUCGAUGGGCUUCUGUAAAAUAAUAACGAAGAGCACAGGACUGACAAGUAGAUAUAAACGAUCUUGGAAUCCUCCAGGUUCUUGUCAGUCGGGUUCAAACAAAUCACUUGGACAACGAGUUCCCUAUGAGGAGACGUCUCCGUCUUGGCGCAUGGACACCGUGAAAUAUGAAUUUUACUGUUCCCGGAGAACCCAGGAACCUUUACAAUGGCGAAGGACGUGACAAUAAUGGAGACACAACAGGCAUGCCAAAGUAACGCGUAGCGAAACGAACGAGCAGCCAUGUCAAAAUAAUAAUGUCUCCAGCAUAUACGCCUAGGUAGAUAAUAAAUGCCAGAGUGAAAGUGGCAAACAGUCUAAAGAUGGUAUCGCGUGUAAAAUAUCUCCGUAGAAGAUGGGCACAAUCCGGAUGGACAGUUUUAAAAGAAGGCUUCAGGUCAAUACCUUUUUUGGAAUUUCUACAUUAUCCAAUUACGAAGCACUGUCCUCCAUAUAUAUACAUACAUAAAGCAGUGACUUCCAAAUGAAAUUCAAAAAUUCCUCAAUCAACCAAAAGAAUCCAGAGAAUUCUCGAGAAGUGAAAUAUAAGAUGAGCAACAAUUCCGAUUCGCAUAUCACGACGUUGCCAUUUGGCAUCUAAUAAUCUUGCGAUUAGAACGAGCAUCAUAACCCUACUUCAAUCGAGAAUGUCGAUUAGAAGCCGAUUCCACGUACUCAAAAUUAACCUAUCCUCUGGUGAAAUAAAAAGGUAAAAUAA